GUGAGGGGAAGGCAUGCGACUUGCAGAGAGGAGGGAGGGAGGGAGAAGCUUAAAAGCAACUGCAGCAAAUUCAAUGGACAGGGUCGCAGCAAUGGAGACACCUCGCUCUGAACCAUUUCCCCUCUCCUCAGGCGAAUGCUGAACAAAGUUUUGAAGGAACAAAAAGAAGAAGACCUACACAUAAUAGAAUCCGAUUCGCAAGGAAAAGAAGAAAACCAGCUUUUCAACAAAAAAGCUAAAAUCAAUCCCUUCGACCUCCUUAUUGGCGACGACACCCAAGACCAGCAGCGUUCGGUGUUGGAUUUGAUUCGAUUGAGGUAAAAGCUCUGCAAAAAUGAUUGUGAUCCCUUAUUUAACCGCAUUAACCACGUACUUCAGCUAUGGAUUGCUCUUCAUUUUCGGCCAAGUCAGAGAUUUCUUCCGCAAAAUAAUCGACUGGUGGAGUGCUAGCAAUUUGCAGGGUUAUGCUCCAAUCUGUUUAGGACUUGAAUAUUUCUAUAUUCGCCAGCUUUAUCUUUGAAUUCAGGCCUAUUGCAAGUGCUCCUGAUGCUUGGUUUGAUGUGGUUGAACGCUACUCCAAUGACUACAACAAAACACUCAAGCUAACCAAAAAAACCAGUAGAUGCCUUAACUUGGGAUCUUACAAUUACCUUGGCUUUGCUGCAUCUGAUGAGUACUGCACACCUCGCGCUGUUGAGACGUUGAAAAAAUAUUCUCCCAGUACCUGUAGUAGCCGAGUUGAUGGCGGCACCACAGAUUUGCAUAAUGAGCUGGAAGAGUGUGUUGCAAAUUUUGUUGGGAAACCUGCUGCUAUAGUUUUCGGAAUGGGUUAUGUCACAAACUCUGUUAUCCUUCCUAUUCUGAUGGGGAUGGGAGGCUUGAUUGUUAGUGAUUCUUUGAACCACAACUCCAUAGUCAAUGGCGCAAGAGGAUCUGGAGUUAGAGUUUGUGUUUUCCAACACAAUAGUCGAUUACCAAAAGGAGCUCAUCAAGUAUUCUACAAGCACGAUCGACCUUGAUCAUUUGGAUAUUUCAAGGAGCCAUUGAUAAAGGGAAGACGACGAGUUGUGAACCUAUGUGUCAAUUUUGCCAAUUUUGUAGACAAGCAGAAACUAUGGCACAAUGAUCAAAUAGGUUUUCAUGUUGUGUAUUUUGAUUAAUAGCUGUGAAAUCCACUGUGUGUCGCACCACAGACGGUCUCGCCUCCGUCCUGUCUUCCUCUCGCCGCUGUCUCCCUUUUCUCGCCUCCGUUGUCUUACUCCUUUCUCUGUCUCUGGAAUCCUAUCAACAUCUUCCAGGCAUGCAAGGCUCUGGCCCUCUCAAUUGAAACCAAAACGUGUUUCAGUUCUAAGGAAGAGCAAGAAAAGGAAGAACUAGUAUUAGAAGAUCUUCCCAAAGAGUACUAUGAUGAUGCGAGUGCCUUUAUCCUUUAACUUGACCAAAUGGGUGCUCAAAUUUCAUGUUUUUCUGUGAUUAUAUGAGUAAAUUUUUGUAUUUUGUUUUUGGGUUUUGCCAAAUUCAAUGGUGGUAUUUAUGGGUUUGGUAUUGAUUUUCAGUUAACAAUGACUUUGGGGAAAUUGAUUGAGUCUGCAUUCAAUGUAACUUUUCAUGCAGUUACAUACUGAUGAAAUAGAAUUCAAUUUUUUAAUUCCCGUCUUCUUUUUUUUAAAUGCAGUUACAUUUAUAUGAUGAUUUACAACAUAUAUUCGUCUUUUAGUUUCUAAUUCUUCAUGCAGUCUAAGCCAUGAAGGAUUUGAUAAACCCACAGUUGAUAACAAUGUGCAGCAGCACCAACGGUUUUGGACAAGGAACAAUCUCCAUCCGGUACAUUUGUCCAUCCUUCUGGAGUGGAGCACUAUCUUUCUGACAGCAUAAAUGCUCUGAGAAACUGCUAUGGAGACAAAAAGUUGUUUACUCCGUUCUAGGUAUGUUUUUCUUUAGUAUUUUAGAGGGAUUCUUAACUAUUCCCCAUUGUAAUCUUUACCUUUGUAUCUAUCUCUCUCAAAAGAUGAUGAGAGUAGCAACUGUUGGAAAGCAAAUUCUCAGACGUAUCUAAGUAUAUACAUACAUUGGACAAAAAUCGAAUCUUAAAUUGAGGCAGUGAGUUCUGCAACAUCCUGGUGCUGCAUAUAUUCUCACACUUGUAUUUCUCGGAUAUAUUGGGAAUUUAAUUAGUUUUAUGUCAUCUUCAUAGGGCAAUUUAGUAGAGAUUUAGGACAUAAAAGAAGAUGCAUGAAUCAAUACAAUUAACCUAAUAGUGAUUUUGUUCAGCGUAAAGACCACUGCUAGGGCACUCAAGUCUUUUUCUUGAUUUAUGCGCAUAUAUAUUAUACGUAACCAGCACAUGUUUCCAAAGGAUGUUAGUCAGUGUUCAUGCUCUGCUGAUAUUUUAUUCUGUUCAUUUUGAAUUUGUUUUUUCAGUGUGGUUAUAGGAUCGUUUUGUCUCUCUGUUUUUUUUCUUCUUUUUUUUUCCCUCUGUACAGCUUUUCUAAAAUUGAACUGUUCUCAAUUUGGUUAUUUGAACCGAGGCCAGUUAGGCUGUGCCUUUGGAAAGUCUCACUGCUUUUAAAGUUGAAUGGUGCUAACUGAAUAUAAUGCGUUCAUUCUUCUGUGUGUGUGAGUGUAUGUGAGUGCAUGCAGUGUGGUUAGGUUCAUUCCUGCAUGGGUUUUCGUCUUCUUUUCGUUAAAUGGUUAGGUUCAUUCCCACAUGGGAGAGGUGUGUGUUUUUGCCAUAAAUUGGUAGAGACGGAUCUUAAUCAAAUAUCAUGCCGUAGUGUUAUUUUGUUUGCAUCUAUGGAACUAUAUAUUUACUUCGUUGUUGUUGACGGCUUCGCCUGUUCUUUCCGGAUAAUGCUGCCU